rnacentral:rRNA from 1 species
UACGUAGGGGGGCUAGCGUUGUCCGGAAUCAUUGGGCGUAAAGAGCGUGUAGGCGGCCCGGUAAGUCCGCUGUGAAAGUCGGGGGGCUCAACCCUCGGAUGCCGGUGGAUACUGUCGGGCUCGAGUACGGAAGAGGCGAGUGGAAUUCCUGGUGUAGCGGUGAAAUGCGCAGAUAUCGGGAGGAACACCUAUGGCGAAGGCAGCUCGCUGGGACGUUACUGACGCUGAGACGCGAAAACGUGGGGGAGCAAAACAGG